rnacentral:rRNA from 1 species
UGCCAGCCGCCGCGGUAACACGUAGGAGGCAAGCGUUAUCCGGAUUUACUGGGCGUAAAGCGCGUGUAGGCGGCUCGGAUAGUUGGAUGUGAAAGCUCCUGGCUUAACUGGGAGAGGUCGUUCAAUACUUCCGGGCUUGAGAGUGGUAGAGGGAGGUGGAAUUCCGAGUGUAGUGGUGAAAUGCGUAGAUAUUCGGAGGAACACCAGUGGCGAAAGCGGCCUCCUGGACCAUAACUGACGCUCAGACGCGAAAGCUAGGGGAGCGAACGGGAUUAGAUA